AGAAAAAUUUAAUAAGACCUAUUGAUUCAUGUAAAAAAAAAAAAAAAAAAACAGGAAGGAAAUAUAACUGAAGUUGGCAGCACUAAUCUUUCUACAACAAUUAGUAGUAGGGCAUAGUUUAUAUAGAAAAAUAAUAGUAUAGAGAGGUUAGAAAAAUCAUAUAACGGUGAAAGUAAAGAUUAACGAUGGCUAAAAAGGCGAGAAUAUUAGUAAAAUUUAGUAAUUAAAUGAUUAAAAACUAUGAAUAGAUUCUGAAGAUAGAAGUUAUAUUAAAAGCCUGUAAAUUCAAAAUGUAAUAGAAAAUGAAUAUCUUUAUUAGAGAGUGAAUACAUAUGAUUUGCCUAAAUUAAUUAAAGAAAAAAGAAAAAUAUAUAGAAAAUAUAUAGAAAACUAAACCUAUAUAGAAUUUAUAUAGAAAAUCAAAAUUAAUUGGAAAUCAUAAUAACCAUUUUAUUGAAUGAAUCUAAUUUUCUAAUAGAAAAUAUAGUAAGUAAAGUAUAGAACAAGUUAAUACAGAUACAUACUAUGAAUACUGUAAUCAACCAGCAUAAUAAUCAAUAUAAGAUUAAAAGAAUAUAUUAUAAUUUAUAUAUAGAUUAUAUAUAGAUUAUAUAUUGAUUAUAUAUAGAUAUAUAUAGAUUAAAAUAUAUAAAUAUAUUAUAUAAAGAAAUCGAUAAAAUAUUAUAUUAUAUGUAAAUAUUAUAAGUAAAAAAUAUUGCAUUGAAAAAUAUAAUUAUAAAAUACUUUGUUAAAGAAAGAAAAAUGACACAUGUGAUAAAGCAUGAAUAUACAUAUGAAACUUGAUGGAAUUGGUAUAUUAGACUUAACAUUCACUCUUGAAUGUUAUUUAAAGAAAAAAAUCUAAUUAAGUCAUAAAAUUGGUGGAACAAUCAUUACAGCAAAGACAAAAAGACAUAUGCAUCACAAAAAACAUAUAAACAUGGAUGUUUCAUACAUAGAAAAAUGAAUCAUAUAGGGAAACAAUGCCAAUAUAAUGAAAAGAAGUAUAAUGUAUAGGUAAUAAAAAUAAAUAACAAUUAUAAUAACAUACAUUCUAAUUUCUUUAGAAAUGAAAGAAUUACAAUCGAGAGGAAAUAAAAUAAUGUAACUAUUAGAUAUAAAAAUGAACAUAUAUUUUAAAUCAUAGAACACAAUAUAUUUCUGAUAUCAAUGAAAAUUAAAUAUAAAAUUAAAGAAUGAAUGCUUGAUUUUGACUUAACAAUAUAUGUCAAUAUAAAAUAUAUAUAACAUAUAACUAUAUAUUAAAUAUAUAUAGUUUUACAAAAUAUGAUAGAAUCUUUAAAAAUAAAAUAAAAAGAAAAAAAUUGUGAUGAAAAUAAUGAUCAAGAACAAUCAACAUCAAAAAUGUAUUAUAUAAUAUAUAUAAUAUAUAUCACAUUUAAGAAUUAAUUCACUAUUUAUAAACUUAACUUAACUAACAUUAAUAUAAUAUUUAGUAUGAAAUGAAUAAUAUAAAAUGAUUAACUUAACAUUGAAAGUAAUAUGAUUCAAACUAUAUUAGUAUUAUAUAAAUAAUAAUAUUCAAAAAAGGAUAAUAUAUUAGGGAUAAUUAAGGAUAAUAUACCAAAUCAAGAAAGUUAUAAAUUAUAAGACAAUUAUAAGAACCAAAAGAAAAAAGAUAACCAAAAGAUAAUAAACUAUGUUGACAUAGAUAUUUAGAUAUUUGAAAAAUAUAAAUAAAAUGCAUAUAUAUAGUAAUUUCAUUAAAAAUUAGAUAAAGAUAGAUUAAAGAUAAUUAUACAGAACAAUUGAUAUAGUUAUAUAUAGUCAUGUACAAUAGAAAACUUCUCUAUCAGAAACUUCACAAAGUAUAAAGUACAUUCAAAGAAAAGGUUUAUGAAUGUUAUAUUGAUGUCAAUAGAAUCUUUGAUAGAAAUCUUUGAUAAAAUCUUUAAUAUGAUAAAUAAAUAAAUAUAUCAAGGCAUACUCUAUAAGAAAAAUAUAUUAUUUCAUAAAAUAUAUUAGAUGUGAAAAUAAAUUAUGGAAAAAAAUAAAUUAAAGUCAAAAAGAUCUGUUCAGAUAAUAGAAAAAAGUUUAUUAAUUUUUAUUAACAAUUUUGAAAAUUUUUUUUAGGAUAAAGAAUAUAGUUUAAUUUUAAGAAUUAUCUUACAAUAUAUAAAAUAAUCUAUAAUCUACAAAACAAUAAGAUCGCGGAAAAAAACGAACAAACGUUUGUUACAAAAAAUACACACUAUAUUGAUAGAUGCAGACUUAUCAAAAAAUUUUUUAACGAUAAUAGCAGUAACUUAUCUAAAAAAUUUAAUUUUUUUUCAUAAUAAAAAAAAUGAAAUGAUUAAACCAAUGGUUUUUUAUUUAAUUAUUUAAAUCAUUUUCCAAAAAUUGAAUGAAAUAAACUGCAAUCAGAAAUAAAAAAGAAUAUAUUCUUUGAAUAUUUAGAGAAUAGUAAAAAUUACAAAAUAUAUAAUCCUGAAAAAAAAAGAACAUAUGCUAUUAAAAUGGUAAAAUUUGAUGAAAAAUUUUAUUUAUUGAACUAUUUAUUGAAAAGGUAAAUAGUUAAUGAAAAGAAUUGCAUAAAGAUAUAUAGUUAAUAGAAUAUAAUCAAUUGGAAAAACCAGGAAAUAAAACUCAAUCAAAAGAAAAAAUGGAAAUAUAUUCAAAUAAAGAGAGAUUAUAACGAAUGAAAUAGAACCAAAUAAUAAAGAACGAAGAUUAAAGAAAACAUAUACAGAAAAAUAAAACUAUUAUAUUAAAUUAAUAUUAUAUAUAUAUUAAAUCAGAAAGGAAUAAAAGGAAAAGUUUUGAUUAUGAAAAAUAAAAAAAUUCAAAUGGAUUGAAAAGAAAAAAUAAAGAACUAAUAUGAUACAUUGGAAUUCAUCAAUUUUAUCAAUUUUUAAUAAUAAAAAAAAAGCAAUGAAAACAAAUAAUUGAAAAACAUAGAUAUUUGUAAUAGAAAAAGAAUUAUGAAAUGUGAAAAAACAUAAAUUCAUAUUUAGAAAAAAAAAAUAUUUCAAGAAAAAAAUAACAACUUUUUUCAAUAUUAAAAAAGAUUAAAAUAAAAAAGAAAAAAUUUAAAGACAAAUAAGUGAUCAUCAGCAAUAGCAUAUAACAAUUAUGCAUCAAACAUUUUUUUAUAAUAUAUAAUUUAGCAUUUAUAUAUUUAUAUGAAAAACUAAAAAAAAUUGUAUAUAGUUUUGAAGUUGUAUAUAGUAUAAAGUUUUGAAAAAGACAUAUAGAAAAUGUAUCAAUAAUAGAAAAGUAUAUAUGAUUUACAAUUUGAAUACCAGAAUAAAUAAUAUACCAUCAUAAUUUUGUAAGACGAUAAUAGUUUUGCACUAUUGCAAUAUUUUAUUUUAACAAUUAUAUUUGACUUAAUUGAAAAGAAUUUAUAAAUAUCUAAAAGAAACAAAAAAUUAUUUAAAUUAUAAGAAAAUUUAUUUAAAUUAUUUAAUUAUUUAAAUUAUAAGAUUAACUUAUAUUUCAGUAUCAUGUGGAAUAGUGACAGGUUUAACAAAAAUAAAAAGUGAAUCACGCAACACAUUUAAUCACUUUAAAAUAUUACAUUAAUUUAAUGAAUUACAUAAAUUAUUAAUCAAAGAUUUAAUUAUUAUGUCCAAACAAUUUGUUCUAAUUCAUAAAUUAUUGAUUUAUAUAACAAUAGCGACUAAAAAAAAAAGGAUUGAACAUAAUAACAUUAUGCAAUAAUAUAAUGUAAAAACACAUUUAGAAGGUUUUGUGGUUUUGAUAUAGACUACUACUUUAUUGAGUUUUCUUUUUUUUUCUUUUUUUUAAAUUGCAAACUUGUCAAAAUAUAACAGGAAAGUGAGUAGAGUUAUUUAGAAGUUAAAUAUUUCUUUACACUCUUAAAAGAAUAGUAAAUAAAAAUAAUAAAAAAUUAAAAACAAGUCAUUGCUACAGAAAAAUUGAAAAGCAAGAAAAAUUUUCAAAAACCUAUUGAGGUGUUAUUAGCAUUAGCAGAAUUUUUCAAGAUUAUCAAAUCUUUCUGAUCAGAUAGUACAAAUCAGUUUGACAUCAUAAUAAGUUUUGUAGAUCUAUAGAAAGUAUUCCUUAAUUCAUAGAAAAUACGUUAGCAGAAUUUAUUUCAUCAGACGAAUUAAACUUUGAUUUAAUUUGAAAAUUUACUGUAAGUUUUCUGUACUCAUUCUAAUCAAGUAUAGAAAUGAAUAUUUAUUCUAGGAAGAAGAAAAACAGAUCUAUGAUCUGAAUUUAAAUCUUGGGAGAUAUCAUAUUGUUUUGAUUGAGGCAUUGAAAAGAAAAACUCAAUAGUUGAAAGAUGCUUGUGAAGUGAGUAUGAGAUGAAGUGAAUAGGAGAUACAUCAAUUGCACAAUUGAAAUUUGUCAAGUAAUCAUUUAAGACUUUACUAUUUCUAUUAAAGUAGAAAUUGUUCCAAUCAGAGUGUUUAGAAUUCAAAUCAAUAUCAAUAAGAUAAAGAUCAGAAAAACUAUUAAUAAUUUCAAGAUCAGAUUGGAUCAAUAUUUGUCCGCCAAUAUGCAGAAAUUAUAAUAAUAUUGAAUUAGAAAAUUGUCACUACAUUUAAGUGUUUAAAGUUUGACAUUAAAAUGCAAAUUAUUAAGUAUAAAUAUGACAAUAUCUUCUUAUUUACUAUCCAGUUUAUCAACUUUCAUAAUGCUGUAAUCUUUAAUAGUAAUAUUGACAUCUGAUGAUAGCCAAGUUUCUUGUAUGGCUGCCACUAUAACAUUAUUGUUUUUCAUGAACAUUUCCAGUUCAAAUAAUUUGUUAUCAAUAGGACAUGCGUUUCAAGUCAUGAUAGUUUCAGAUAACUUAAAAUUAAAAAUGAAUUAUGAGAAUAGAAGUUAAAUAGCCUCCUUAUUAUUUCAAUCUCAUUAUUAUUUCAAUUUUGUCAAAGAAAUUAUUACAAUUUAAAAUGGAAUGACUUUGCAAGAGAAAUUAUUUUUUUUACAAAGUUUACAAUUUCUCUGAAGAAUUCAUUAAACUUCCCAAUGGAAUUAUGAUGGCCCACCACGUAAAAGUUAAAUGGAAGCAGUUACUGCAAGAACUGGAUUAAGAGAAUUAACUCCAAUCCUGCCUGAUCCUUGAAGUGCGUUAUGAUUUACCAUUUAAAAUCACAAAAUUAGGCGUAAGUAUUUAAUGCUAUAGGAAUAUUAUUGAUACAGGUUAUUAUUACACAUAUCUUAAAUUUCUAUUAUUUCUCUGAUCCAAAUUUAGAAUAGUUCAAAUAGUUAGUCAUAUACUCGUCAUCACAAUUAGCACAUUUUGGCAGAGCAUCUAAAGUUUUCACACAAUCUUUAGAUAUGUGAUUUUCAGCACAUAUCUAAAGCUUGACACAUCUAGAUAACUUAAAACAAUUUUCAGAUGUAUGACUAUAUAUAUGACAAUAUUGUAUAUAAUUUUGUGAAAAUAUGAAAAUAUUGUGUGUAAUUUUUAUUUUUGUAAUAUUUUUUCUAGUAAAUUCUACAGAACAGUAGGAAAUUAAUCUUUUUCAUCUUUACUAUGACUAAAAAUUAUAAUUAGUGAGAAAAUUAAUAUGAUAAAUAGAGCUAUCACUAUAUUAAUCUGAACACUAUAUGAUUCACAAGAUUAAGUUGGAAUGGGAUUUUAAUUCUUCAACAAUUAUUAGAUUCCAUCUGGAGCAACCCUACUAGUGAAAGUUGUUUUUCGCUCGGGAAUGUAAAAUUGUGAAAUUAAAACUCUGUUUGACUGAAAAUCUUUUUAGCUUCCGAAAAAACAGUAAUAUUUUUAAAAUGAAUUCUUAUUUGUUCAUCUAGAUAUUUAAAAUGGAAAUUUUUUCCAAUGAUUUUUUCUAAUUCUAGUGUAAAAUCAAAAACAUUCUUAGCUUCUGAUACAAAUGAGAGGGAGUUUCGCUUGUUAAGAUUAUAAGUUUGUUUAUGUUGCAUUACCAUUAUUGAUAUUGAAAUUAUUAUUAGAGUUACUAACUUUUUUAAUUACUAUAUCACAAGAAUCAUUUUGAUUAAAAGCAAAUUUAGCAAAAUCAUUAAAAAGGUCAAAAUGAUUUUUGACUGGAAUAUUUGAUAAUAUUAUCAUAUUUUGUGAAAUCUUAAAAUUUUAAAAUUUUAAAUCUUAAAUUAGUUUUUUUGUGCAUUAAGUUUGUAUUAUUAUAUACACUACAAUUAUUGUCUUCAUUCAUAAAGAACAAUAAUUAAAGUGGAUAAUUGCAUAUAACAUAAUUAUAUAUCAUACAUGAUCAAAAUUUAAAUCCCCUUCCCCUCUUUUCCCCUUUGAAUGUUCUAUCCAGAGACCUCUUCGCCAAACUUGGUCAAACUUGUAAUAGUUAUUCACUCAGUUCAAUAUUUUAUAAUCUCAACUAUCUACAGAGCACCAGCUAAUGAAAUAAUGAUGAGAACAAAUUGCAACCGUCAGAUAUUUUCUGUAAAAUCAUAGUACAAUUCAAUAAAACUGGAACGAAUGACUACUUCUUUAUUGAGAUACACUCAUUUUUUUUUUAUAAAGAGUUUAGAAGUACAUAGGAAGAAUUUAUUGUGAUAACAUUUCCCCUUGUUAGAUUGUUUUUCGUCCUCGAAAAUCUGACAGUUUUUCUACUUGAUAUCGAUAAAUUCUUCGAAUGUUGUUGGAACUUGUUCGUAAAGAUCGAAUGGGAUUGGUUGUCCUGGUAUCCUGUUGUUGUUAAUUGGUUGUUGCAAUAGGAUUUAGAAUAUUGGUACAUAAUUGAUUUGGCAUGCAAUAUUUUAUGAUAAAAAAGAUUUUAAAGAUUUUUGUAUUAAUAUAUAUAAUAAUAAUAGCUCUAAGGAUAUAUAUAUUAUUUGAAGUAUUGAAUAUCCUUUGGAGGAACAAUAUACGACUUGAUUUAUCUAAAAAUUAAUUUUUUUUAUGUGAUUUUAUAUCAAUCAAAAUUGAAAGUAAUUUUAUUAGUUAUAUUAUUUUUGUCUUCUAUAAAUUUUAAAUCAUAAAAGAUUUCAUUAUCAUAGUAUUCUUUUUUUUAUUUUAAAAUUGUAAAUAAUAUUGAAAUUAGAGCUUCAAUUUUCAUGAGAUUGAUUCCAUAUGUUAUUACGCAAGAUUAAUAAAAUGGAUUCAGAUAUGUCAAUGUUAAUUGUUUAUUCAGGAAAUACUAUAUAUAAAUUACUGUCAUCUAGAAAUAUAAAAGUUAGUUCAUGGAUUUUGAAUAAUGCUACUUUACAUAAUCUUAUUUUUUCAGUAUGAUCUAAUAACUUUAAUAAGCAAUCUUUGAAUUAAUUUGCAAACUCUUAACGUUGAGAUUAUUGAUGUCUAAUAGUAUUUGAAAAUUUUGUGGUUCUGAUGCAAUGUGAUUCAAUGUGAAUCAAAUAAUGUCGACUUAUAACUGAACGUAGUACUGUAAAAAAUUUAGAAUCUGGAUUUAUAAUUUCCUGUUUUCCUAAUAUGAUAAUUUCAAUAAUUUCAUCUAAUUGUAAUUGCGUAAUUUUGAGACUAAAAAUUCUGAAUAGAUAACUAGACAUUAUUAGAGUACAUUAUUAGAUUUGUUUAUGUUAUUCAUUGAUCAUUGAUAAUUUGUUAUCGUCCAAAACUUAUUUGAUCAGAGCAGAUUGAUUGGUUAUAAUUAUAUUUUGUUAUUACUAUCAUAGAGUUUAUCAAUAUUCUGAUUUAAUAAAUUAAGAUCGUUUCAACCAAAUAAAAUUUUCCAAACUGAACUUAUGAUAUUAAUUAAUUCUUUCUUAGUUCUAUAAUGAAUUAUUAAUUUUAAUUGAUUACACAGAUUGUUUAUUUUUAUGAAUCGGUUACUUAAUAGUUUGAUUUCUUAAAUUUUAAAGGGCUAAUUUUUACAAUAAUCACUUAAUCUAUUUAUGUUAUUGCUUAGAUUUUAACUUUGAUCAAAGAUUUUUUGUAUAUCUAUAAUACUAACUAAGAAUUAUUUUGCUUAAAUAAAAAUAGCUUUCGCCUAUCGGUUCCAUCAAAAUUUGACGGAAAGUUGAUCCUAUUGAUUUAGUCAUUAAUUCUAUUGAGAAGUAAGCGGUAAAAUGUUUAGGUUUAUUACCAUGUAUGUAUGAGUUCAAUUUUUCUUUUUGAUUUAAUAAUUUAAAAGUUAAAUAAUUUAAAAUUUCAUAGCAUUUUAACUCUCACUGAGAACAGAGAGAGUUUUCUUUGUGACAAUUUUUCAAUAGCAUUUGUGCUCCUGGUUUGUGCUCUGAGAUAAGAUUCUGGAAUCUUGAGUUUGUUUUUUUUUGUUUACUUUUGUCAGUUAUCUUUAAUUUAUUAAGGUUAAAAUUGUAUUUUCUUUGCCAUUGGUUUAUUUUAUUUUUCAUGUUAGAUUAAAAUGUUAGAUGCCUUGUGAUGUAAGCUCGAAAGAUAUUUAUCCUGUUGCUUCAUGAACUUUUGCAUUGUGACAAAAUCCAAGAUUUCAUCCUAUUGAUAAUUGUUAUCAGAAAGGUUGAUCGUAAUAAAUAUUUUACAACUUUGUGUGCUUUUUCCAAUGAACCAUUGGAUUAAGGAUGGAAACUAUAAUUUUGAUGUGUUUAAUGUUAAGAGUUUUUUUCAAAAACUUUCAUCGUUUUACUUAUAAAAUUAGCUUUUUUGUUAGUAUAGAUUUGAAGAUUGGUCUUGCAUACAUAGUAUGAACUCAUUUUCUUUUUGUAUUAUCGAAAGGAGAUCUAUGUCGAAUAAGAUUUUGUCGUUUGGUUCGGAUAGUAUAUCAAGUAUGACUGCGUUUUUUCUAUAUUUUCAUCAUGUUAUUUUUUAAGUUUGAUCUUUGAUUGGAACACUUUCUUAUAAAAUCAUAAACAUCUUUUUUUAAAUUUUUUCAAUUAUGAUUUUCAGUAAUUCUCUUAAUUGUACUAUUGAUUGAAAUGUUCAAUAAUAUUAUUGUGAUUUUUCUUUAAAAUUUCAAUUUCUCUGCGUUAGUGUAUUUUUUCUAAAGGUUUACAUAAAAAAUUAUGGAAAAUUAUAUCGAUUUGGAUAUUUGUAAUUUAUGAAAUUUAUUCAAAUGACAUCUCGCUUAUUAUUACUAAUUUUUCAUUAUUGAUUUCUAUAGUUAACUUAUAAAGUUUAAAUAAUAAUUAAUAACAUAAUUUUAAUUAAUAACUAAUUUAUAAAGUUGUGUCAAUCAGAUCUCAUCAUAGUCGUUUAAUUCUUAUAAUGUUAUUUAAUCAUAUGUUUUUAAAUUAAUUUUUUCUUUGAUCAUAUAAAUAGGAAUGUCUUGCUCUUAUUUCCAAAUUAAAUAGUCUAUGUAAAAAAUCUAUAGUUACUGCGUGGGAAUUUCCACAUAACUCCUGAUUUAGUUGUUCAAUUAAUUUUCUAUUUCAUUAUUAGGUAUAAAAUAGUACAUCGUCUGAAAUAGAAGGAUUUUCAGGUAUUAUUAUAUUUUGAAAGUUCGUUUGAGAGAAUGCUUGUUCACUUGAAGUUGAAUUUGCUGUAACAGUUUUUGAAUCUGAAAUUAAUACAUUCGAAAUAAGGUAUCAACAGCAAUAUUUUCUUUUCCUCUUUUAUAUUCUAUUUCAUAAUUAUAUUCUUCCAAUUUGAAUCUCUAUCUUAUCAAUCUAAAAGAAGACUCUUUUACAUUAUGUAGUCAUUUAAGGGUUUAAUGGUCUGUUUGUAUAAAUUUUCUGCCUAAUAGAUAUUAUCUGAGUGACUUCGUUGCCCAUAUAAUCGUCAAUAAUUUCUUUUUUGUAGUAUUAUAAUUUUUCUUUGGUGCAUUAAGUAUUUGGGAUAUGUAGGAACAUGAAUGUCUGUCCUGAGAUAGUAUUAUUCCUAAUAUCCCUUUCAUUGCUGAUAUCGAUAAUUAAGAUAAAUGCUUUGUGAAGUCAGAAUAUUAUAAUGUAGAUGCGAUAUUGUUACAGAAGUGUUCUUUUAAUGUGUUGAAUGCUAAUUAUUGUUUGUCGGUCUAAUGGAAGAGUAUAUCUUUUUUUAUAAUUAUAUUUAUAAGAUCCAUUAAGAUUAUUUAAAAAAAUUCUGUAUAAAUUUGCAGUAAUAUCGAGUCCAAGGAAUGAUUUUAUAUUUGCAUUUAUUUCAUUAACAAUUUUUUAAAUUAAUUCUUCAGUGUAGAAAAGCUUGAAAUAAUGAAUGAAUAUAAUACACGAUAAUGAAAUGUUUAGUCUAAGAUUUCUUUGUUCAAUAAAAAAAUUAUAAUCAUAAAUAUAAUUAUCAUAUGUUAUAUCAUUCCAGAUUAGUGGAUUUGAUAUUGGAUUUGAUAUUUUGCAGUUUGGUAAUUAAAAAAAUCUUAUCACUGGUGAAAAUAUAUUUCAGAAUCUGAUUCGCAAUCUUCAUGUAUAUUGAUUCCUGUUAUAUCAUCUGUAAGAUAAUUUUUGUGUCAUCCUCUUUUUCGAUUUCAUUGAACUGUCGAUUUACUUUUUGCAUACAAUCAUCAAUAUCAUCACUGUUCAAAAUUCUUAUUUAGUUUGCAACUCAUUUUAAAUUUUUAGGAGAUUCCAGGUAUUUCAAAUAAUAUCAAUCUAUAUUUAAUUUAUACCACGAUACGCUAGUUAUGCCAAAAUAUAGACUAACCAUAUAAAUCUCGAGGAAAAAGCUGUUGAUCCGAUAUCAACAAAUUAUAUCACAGUUAUUUACAAUUUUUUUUCAAACAUUUCUAUAUUAUUCAUUCGACGCAAUAUCGAAUUACAUAUAAUCUGAUGUAUACAAAUCGGAUGUUUUAGUAAAUAAAAAAUGUCGAGUGUGAUUCGAUAAAACUUUUGUAACAAAAACUGAUCGAGUCACACUUAACAAAGAAGUGCAAAAGAGAAAUUCUUCUAUUAUUUUUUUGUUUAACAUUUCAUUAAUUUAAGUUUCAAUUUUUUUGUGACAUUCUGAAAGUUUAUAUGAUUUGAUAUUAAUGAAUUUCUAAGUGUUCUAAGAUUUCUAAGUGUUACUUCUAGUGCUGAAUUAAAUUAGUACAGGUCAAACUAUCAUUGUUAAGAUUGAACACGAAGUGAUAGGAGACUAAGAUUUUCAAUAAUUUCGCAAUAUUCAUUUAUAUAUUUAGUAUGAAUUUUAGAAACAAAUUUAGAAAAAUCAAAAUUAUUUUAAUCGUUUUCAAUAAAGUUAUUUAUAUCUAUUUCUAACUUAUCAAUGUUUAUGAAGUAUAUUGUCAUCUAUUGUUUAGAUACUCUGAUUUUUUUAUAUAUCUGUCCCGUCUGAAUUGUUGGAUCGUCGGAAAGUAAUUUCAUUUUCUUUUUUCAUGAUAAUGAAACACACUUUUUUAAUAGCAUAUAUGUAUUUUAUUUAAUUAUAUAUUAAUUAUUGUGAUCUUUAUGUAAUAGCACAUGUGAUUCCACGUUUGUAGAACUUCUAAUCUUUGUUUACAAAAAAUUAAUCUAAGUGGUUUUUAAUAUCUUCAUCUGAAAUAAACGUUUUGCCAUUUAAAGAAUUUUGUAAUAAUCGAAAUAGAUAAUAAUUUGAGUAUCAAAUCUAGUGAAUAUAAUGAAUGGUGUAACACUUUUUUCCAAGCUGUUUACUUCUGGCGAGUCAUUUCAUAUAAGAUCUAACAUUAUCGUGAUGAAACACUACAUUUUUUCUACUAAUUAAUUCAGAUUUCUUUUGUUUGACGAAAUUAUCAAAUUCUAUCAUCAAAUUUGAUGGAAUUUUGUUUAAUUUAUCCAAUUGAUUUCAUUGAUUUCGAAUUAAUUGUGCAAUUGUCAAAUAGAAGCUCAAAAAAAAAAAUAAUAUAAAUAACUUCUUUGAAAUCUCAUUAAACAGAGAACAUCAUAUUUUUUAGUGAAUGUUGGCUUUCGAAAUGCUUUGCGCCGGCUUAUCUCUAUUCCUCCAUAAUCGUUUUUGUUUAGCAUUAUUGUAAAUGUUCCAUUUUCAUCUCCAGUUCGCUUUAAAAAUGAAUCAUUUUUCUCACGUUUGAGCAGCAAAUCACAGAUGUCAAUGUGACGGAAUAAAUUUCUUUCUUUGAAAAUGUGUGGAACUCAAAUAUCGAAUUUUAAAACGAAAUUAAGUUAUUGUAUGUGAUCAUGAAGAAUCGAAUUUGAUAAAUUCAAUCUCAAUUUCUCGAGUUGUUAUUCGUCGAUUUGCUUCAAUCAGUGUUUUUAUUUUAUCUUCAUCAGCUUCAACUGGUUUUCUAAAAUAUGACGCAUUUUUAAUGUGGAAAUUUUGAAAACCAGUUUUAACACUAUUAAUACACUGUUAAUAACACUGUUAAUAAUUUUUCUCCAUAGACUUCAUAUAAUUUUUUUCUUGCCUGAACAUUCUUACGUUUUCAAUAAUAAAAAAGUAAAAUAUGCCAAAAAUAUUCUUUUGAGUCUUACAUCUUUAUUAUCACACAUGAAAAACACAACCACACAGAAUCAAACGAAUUUUUUUUAUAAAUAAACUAUGAAAUGCUAAUUUUCAAAACAUAUAAUAACAAUAUAGUUUAAAAUGAAUUGGAAUUUGGCUGGAUAAAUAUUCAACUAGUGAUAUUGUAGUAUGAAAAAAUGAAAUUACUUUCCGAACAACCUAAUAAUUUUUCUUGUGUCUUGGAAGGAAAUUAUAAUUUAGUUUAAAGUGAAAGUAUUGUUAGAGAUAUUAUAUUGGUAAUUUGAAAGGAAUUAAAGUUCUAUGAUUUCAUUUUCAAUAAAUCAUCAGGAACGACAUGGAAUAGAUUUGGCUUAAAGAUUAGUAAUAUAUCUAUUAAGACCCAUAAAAAACUCUUUUUCUUUUCCUUGUUUGAUAUUGAUAAUUUUCGAAAAUUUUAUAAUGUUGAUGGCUGCUUCAUCGAAUAACAUUCGUCCAAAUUCUGAUAUUCCUGUUAAUUUAUAUUAGAUUGAUAAUAAUUCGUUUUCACUGAUACUAUUAAUUACUAUUCUUGGUAAUUCGUUUGCCAAUCCUUUGAUAGAUUUUCCGAUAGUGUUGUUCAUUCGAACUUUCAGUUGAAACUUUCCGGUCUGGACAUUGUGAAAAUUUUGGAUGUAGCAUAUAUUAGCUGUAUGUCCUAUUUUGUCACAUUUAAUUUCUAAGUAUUUCAUUUCUAAGCUGGAGAGGGAUUUCUUAGCGAGGUGGAUCUUUGUUAUCAGCUGACUUACUACAUGAGCUCUCAGUAUAGAUCUGUUAUUGAUAAUUGUUCAAUAUGUUUAAAUGUUAUCUGAAUUCGGUUUGUGUUUUGUAAGAAUAAGUUAAAAAAAGUUAAAGUUAAAGUUAUAUCCCUAUUGCCAUUAAUUGUGUUUCAGUUAGGAUUUUCGGUUUACUAGAUAUUAUUAAUGCUUCAAAAUUUUUUUUUAAAUUUAUUAGAUAAAUUCUGAUUGUUUUGUCUUCCUCUUCUUCAAUUGCAAUUCUUCUGUUAAUAGAUUGAUUCUGAACAACAUAUAUAAGUUCAUUUAAAUAUUGUCUGAAACUGUAUAUUAAAUCCUUGUAUGGUUUCAGUGAAUCAAAAAAAUUCAAAAAAAUUGUUUGAUGGACUAUAGUUUAUCUCUACAGCUACUGAUUGUAGUUGGAAUUGAAAUAUUGCGUUAGGACAUUGUAGAAUUCCUGGAACGUUUUUAUCCUCGUAUAUCUGAUAUUUCGUUUUGUCUAUUAUUUUUUCAAUUAUUAUAUUUUAAUAACAGUUUUUUUUCACUACAUAAAUAUAAUUAAUUAUACAAAAUUAUGAGCAAAUUCCAUUGAUUUUAUGAAAUUCUUUAUUCCUACAUCAUGCCUCAUAAGAUUUCAAUAAUGCGAAUGGCCUCAUUCGUUUUAACUUAUGAAUUGUUUCUCAUUAAUCUUUCUAUUUGUUGUGUGAUAUGCGUUUUCUCUUCUUUUUGAAUCAUUCAUUCGGUAUUUAUAUAUAUGAAAGUUUGUUUCAUUAAUAAAUGGAUUUUUCUGUUAAACAAGUAACUCUUAAUUGUUUUAUUAAUUUUUUUAUUUCGUUAGUUCUUUUAUCAUUUUCUUCUUUUAAAAUAAUCUUUUGUUUAUCUCCGUUAUCAUUUCUGAUUUUCAUCUAAAUUCUAAAGCUUAAUCAGAAUUAACUUUAAAAUAUAUCAUGUUCCACUUUAACUAUUAUAAGCCAUUAUAAUUAAGUCACGUCACCUCCAAGUCAAAAAUGUUAAUAGAAGUGAUACUUGAAGAAUUUAUAAAUGCUAGCUUUAUCUCAAAUUCUAUUUUCUAUAUCUAAUGACUAUACUUUCUUCCAAGUUGUCGCAGCAAAUCUUUGUAAAAUUUUCUUUUAGUUGGUUACGAUAAGCUGAUCCUGAUAGAAGCGCCAAAUGUCAUGGAAAAAUGAUAAGUUUGAAAUAAUAAAAUAAAAAAUGAAUUACGCAACAUACUUAAUAUGACUGUAUAUCAGUUUGUGGAACAAGAUUGAUUACAAAAUCUUUUAAUAUAACUACAUUAUAGUUAUAAUUACUUACAACUAUAAUUUUCGAAAAAAUAAUAUUAAUAUUAUUCUUUUUUAUUAUAUUUUCUUUUUCAUAAUGCUAAUAUCAUUUUCAAUAUAAUUUAUAAAAUAAAUAAAAUAAUUUUUAACAAAAUAUUUAAAAAAAACAUGUAAAUAUAAAAAGUUAAUAAUAUUACAUAUAUUUAUAGUUAAAUAAAUUAAUCUUUUUAAUUAGAAAUAGAAAUAAAAUAAAAUUUUGUAUAUCUUGCUCAAAACAAAAAUGUCUCUUUUAUACCACUUUUUUCCUAUUACAUAUAUUACAUAUAGUUUAAUAUAUUAAACUAUUUAUAAAUAGAUAUAUAUAUUUACAUAAUGACUAUUUUUAUAUUCAUGAUAAAUUUUCUUCAAUUUAAUGUUUUUUAUUAACAUUAAUUAUCAAAAUUAAUUUAUACAUUAUACAUACAUUAACAAAUAAUUCCGACAAAACAAGAAAAUUGAUAAUAAUCGUGACAAUGCGAUAUUGUUUAUUAUAGUUUAUUACUUGAUUAAUUGAAGCAUUUUGCUUAAUCGGUAUCUUAUUUCAUCUAGUGUAAAAUUAAUAAUAACAUUUAAUAUAAUUAUAAUUAUAGAUUUCCUAAACAUUUUUUGAUUUAGCCAAUUAAUUUUUUCGUUAAAUAUUUUAAUAAAUCUUGAAAUAUAUUGUAAAGGAUAUCAUUUUAAACAAUUUUAUAUACUGGCCAUCAGUUUUUUCAAAUUAUUAAAAAAAACAUUUAAUACUAUUACAUUGAAUAUGUAUUUCUAUAUGUAUUUAUAUUCGUAGAAAUAUAUGUGAUUCGUGUAAUAUUAAAUAUAUUAUUGAAAAAUUUUUA